CCUAACACAUGCAAGUUGAACGAGAAAUCACCUUCGGGUGAGAGUAGAGUGGCGCACGGGUGAGUAACGCGUGGGAACCUGCCAAGCAGUGGGGAAUAACCUUUGGAAACGAAGGCUAAUACCGCAUACGCCCUUUUGGGGAAAGAUUUAUCGCUGUUUGAUGGUCCCGCGUCCGAUUAGCUAGUUGGUAAGGUAAUGGCUUACCAAGGCGACGAUCGGUAGCUGGUCUGAGAGGAUGAUCAGCCACACUGGAACUGAGACACGGUCCAGACUCC
rnacentral:rRNA from 2 species